rnacentral:rRNA from 1 species
UACGUAGGGGGCAAGCGUUGUCCGGAUUUAUUGGGCGUAAAGAGCGUGUAGGCGGCUUUGCAGGUCCGCUGUGAAAACUCGAGGCUCAACCUCGAGCUGUCGGUGGAAACCGUAAAGCUAGAGUCCGGAAGAGGAGAGUGGAAUUCCCGGUGUAGCGGUGAAAUGCGCAGAUAUCGGGAAGAACACCCGUGGCGAAGGCGGCUCUCUGGGACGGUACUGACGCUGAGGUGCGAAAGCGUGGGGAGCAAACAGG